AUGUCGAUCAUCCCCAACUUCCGACGAGGCAGCAUUUUCGACCCUUUCUCUCUCGAUCUCUGGGAAUCCUUAAAGGAUUUUCCAUUCCCUUCCUCCUCAUCACUCUCCACAUUCCCUGAAUUUUCCCGGGAAAAUUCAGCUAUCCUGAACACCAGAAUCGACUGGAAGGAGACCCCAGAAGCCCACGUAUUCAAGGCAGACCUUCCGGGGCUGAAGAAAGAAGAGGUGAAGGUGGAGGUUGAAGACGACAGGGUGCUUCAGAUCAGCGGAGAGAGGAACGUAGAGAAGGAGGACAAGAACGACAAGUGGCACAGAGUGGAGCGCAGCAGCGGCAAGUUCUUGAGGAGGUUUCAGCUUCCUGAAAAUGCAAAGUUGAACGAGAUUAAGGCUGCAAUGGAGAAUGGGGUUCUGAGUGUCACUGUUCCAAAGGCAGAGGUGAAGAAGCCUGAUGUCAAAGCCAUUGAAAUCUCUGGUUAA
rnacentral:lncRNA from 1 species